UACGGAGGAUGCGAGCGUUAUCCGGAUUUAUUGGGUUUAAAGGGUGCGUAGGCGGGCUUUUAAGUCAGCGGUAAAAAUCCGGGGCUCAACCCCGUCCGGCCGUUGAAACUGGGGGCCUUGAGUGGGCGAGAAGAAGGCGGAAUGCGUGGUGUAGCGGUGAAAUGCAUAGAUAUCACGCAGAACCCCGAUUGCGAAGGCAGCCUUCCGGCGCCCUACUGACGCUGAGGCACGAAAGUGCGGGGAUCGAACAGG
rnacentral:rRNA from 1 species